AUGCCCGGCUCCACCGUGGUGCUCAUCGGCGCCUUCGUGGCCGCGCUUCUCGGCGUCUCCCUCUCCACCGUCGUCCUCUGCUCCAACCGGCGCCAGGCGCACCACGCGUCACCGUCGCCGUUGCCGUCACAGCGGAGCGUUGUCGACCUCGAGCAUGGCCUGCGGCGGCCGUGCGGGAUCGACAAGGCCGUCCUGUCCACCUACCCGACCAUGGUGUAUUCGUCGGCUGCGAGCCGAAGGGGCCAAGGCCAGAGCCAGAUGGCUGCCGCCGCGGCCACCGCGUCGGUCGAACAUGGCCAGGCGCAGGGAGACACGACGUGUUCGGUGUGUCUGGCGGAGUAUGCAGACGGCGACGAGCUCCGGUGGCUGCCCGGGUGCCGGCAUGCGUUCCACCGGUCGUGCGUCGACGAAUGGCUGCGCCGGCGGCCGAGCUGCCCGCUCUGCCGCACGUAG
rnacentral:rRNA from 1 species